rnacentral:rRNA from 1 species
AUUGAACGCUAGCGGGAUGCUUUACACAUGCAAGUCGAACGGCAGCGCGGGCUUCGGUCUGGCGGCGAGUGGCGAACGGGUGAGUAAUGUAUCGGAACGUGCCCAGUAGCGGGGGAUAACUACGCGAAAGCGUAGCUAAUACCGCAUACGCCCUACGGGGGAAAGCAGGGGAUCGUAAGACCUUGCACUAUUGGAGCGGCCGAUAUCGGAUUAGCUAGUUGGUGAGGUAACGGCUCACCAAGGCGACGAUCCGUAGCUGGUUUGAGAGGACGACCAGCCACACUGGAACUGAGACACGGCCCAGACUCCUACGGGAGGCAGCAGUGGGGAAUUUUGGACAAUGGGGGCAACCCUGAUCCAGCCAUCCCGCGUGUGCGAUGAAGGCCUUCGGGUUGUAAAGCACUUUUGUCAGGAAAGAAACGUCGCGGGCUAAUACCCCGUGGAACUGACGGUACCUGAAGAAUAAGCACCGGCUAACUACGUG